GGGAACACUUUUUUCGUUUGUUGCGUAUGUUAUGCGCCAAAAUGUGACUUUCGCUGAGUAUUUCUGUGUGUUCAUAAUCUUGAGACCUUUUGGAAUUAGGAAAUAGUGGGCGUCGGCGAAGGUAGAGAACGAAUUUGAAAAAAAAAACUGAUAAAUCUAAUAAAAUUAUUUUAGGUUUUACAAUCUUCGUUUACUAAGCUAGGGUUCGCGUGUUGCACAAUAUUGGAAGUUUCAGUUUUGUGACUUGCGUUUUUUUGUUUCCAUUUUUUUAUUAUCUACAAAUAUUUACUUGUUUACAUGCUAGCUCUACUAGUAAUACAGUCCAUUUGUUAUGUUUCAUUUUCACAUGUUUUUUUCUGUUUGAUCCAUUACUUGCGAAUUAGCAUCAUUAUUUUGGUUAGUGUCGAAUUUAAUCGCGCUGUGAAAGAGCGAUAUAUUAUCAUCCAUCCAGGAAAAAAACUUAAAUACUAUACUAUGGGGCUAUUGUUCUUCAGUGUAAUAAUUUACAGUGUUUUGAAACGUGUGAGAAACAAAUUGCCUGUGAGCGAAAAAAGAGAGAUUUUUUAAGGUGUGACACAAUUAAACUAACACAUAUCAGACGGGGUGCGAUUCAAACUAGGACGAAUGGAAACAGAUGAAGAGAGAUUGAUCUAAACGGCGUAAUAUUGGGCGAUCUUUUUUUGCUAACUGUACAAUGUGAGUCACGACAAAUGCCCGUUGAA